CCCUGCUGGUGCUAAAGUGCUGACAGUGCAGAUAGCGGUCCUGCGUGCUACCGCACUGUGGGUACUUGCUGCUCCAGCAGGG
rnacentral:pre_miRNA from 10 species